AACGAACGCUGGCGGCAUGCCUAACACAUGCAAGUCGAACGGUGUUCCCGCUUCGGCGGGGGCAUAGUGGCGCACGGGCGAGUAACGCGUGGGAACCUGCCCCGUGGUACGGAACAACUCCGGGAAACUGGAGCUAAUACCGUAUGUGUCCCCUGGGACAAAGAUUGCAUCGCCAUGGGAGGGGCCCGCGUAGGAUUAGGUAGUUGGCGGGGUAACGGCCCACCAAGCCCGCGAUCCUUAGCUGGUCUGAGAGGAUGAUCAGCCACACUGGGACUGAGACACGGCCCAGACUCCUACGGGAGGCAGCAGUGGGGAAUAUUGGACAAUGGGCGCAAGCCUGAUCCAGCAACGCCGCGUGAGUGAUGAAGGCCUUCGGGUUGUAAAGCUCUUUCGCACGCGACGAUGAUGACGGUAGCGUGAGAAGAAGCCCCGGCUAACUUCGUGCCAGCCGCCGCCGUAA
rnacentral:rRNA from 1 species